GUAGAAAAAAAAAGGAACAAAGUUUUAGUGAGAAUAGUCUUAACUUCAAUUUUCAGAGAAGAUGCACACAUUGGCCCACUUUAGCUGAACUUCCUGCAGUGCUUUUGGGUUAGCUCGUGCUCCCUCAGCAAAUGGAACAACAAGGGAAAACCCCACAGCACACAGAGCUGAAACAAACUGCAUUUAUCAGUGGCUUUGCCAUCAGUGUGGUGCCCCACUGACACAGGCCUGGCACAGAGAGUCACCAAGUGAUGCAGAGGCCUCUGCUUGGACAAACUCACUUUGAUCUGAUUUGUAUUGUCAGGGCCUUGAUUGCUUUCAAAAAUCCACUUUUUUACUUAUUGAUGGAACAUGCAUCUAAUAUAGUGAGUCAAAUCAAAGUUGAUUGUCCACUGUAAAUUAGCUGUAGUUCACUGCAAACAUUUUAAGGAGCUACAAAUUGUAAAAGGUCAGAAAUGUCAACUAAAAUGUUCUCAAUGUUUUCUUUAACAAACAUUCCUAUUUUUCUUCUGACAAUCUUGAAGGAAGAACAUACUUAGUAAAUUCUACAAUCUCAUGUAGAAUUGAAACAUUUUUCACUUAAUGUCCUUUUCUACAGUUGACAGAUUGCCCGUGAAAGCAAAUAAAAAGAUCAGUUUGCAUGAAAAUGUGGUGCAGCUUUAAGGCCAGCAGAAAAAGAGAGGAAGCAGAUUUAAAUACACAAAUUCUGUGCCCUAGGUACAAGGAACACUUGUACAGAGCUUCAGCAUUUUUAACCUACAACCAGAAGCAAAACCACUUGCAGUUUACACCUGGAAAGGAAGAGAGAACAGGUCUGACUAAUUCAGUGAGCUGCCUCUCCAGGAAAGGCAUUUUCUUUUAGGAGAUUUUACCUGAGAUAGCUGUCUCAGGCAAAAUCUGGGAUUUCUCUUGCAGCAAAGACGUGGCCUCAGGUGAAACAAACGAAACAAAAUCCUGAAUUAAAGUUGACACAGGCACUGAGUAAUUAAGAGAAAUUAUUUUCCAUGUUUGAAGAGGCACACGUAGUGUAGGGAAGUGUCUCUGAAAAGCUCAGGGGUGUGUCAGGACAUACAAAUUUGCUUGCACUGACUCAGUGCACUUGGUAUGCAGCUGGUUAGUCAGAUUCUGCCUCAGAGAUUGCCUUCCUCUGCCAGCCAGUGCAGGGCUGCCUGAGUCCUGCAACACUCCAGGGACAGACAGGUCACUGAGACAUUCUGAAGAAGAGCUUGGGAUCAUCCACUAGGAGAGAUAAAGCCUAAAAAACUGUACUCCCCAAAUCUAAUCUUAUACACCAGAAAAGGAUUAAAACCUGUAAAGUUUUUGUCAGCUCUUCCCACGUGCCUUCUGCUGGAUAGGGGGGAUCAGAGUUACAGCUAAAGGCUCACUUUGAACCCAGACCAGCAGGCCUAGAGCAGGCAGCUACUCCUGGGGUUGCUUUGCUCAGGCAGGCAGAAUCAUCCACUCCUGUUUGCAAGAGCCUUGGCACUGCCUUUCACUGAGUGCACACCAGGAGUCACGUCCAGAAGAGGCACAACAAUCUUCACAAGUGCACUGUGAACCAUGAGCAGCACCAUCUGGCAUCUGUGUUGCCAGCCACUACUACCCAAACCUAAACAUCGAUGCUGCUGUUGCAGCACUGAGGGGGCUCAGAGACAGGGCUGCUGGUCGAGAUGAGUGGCCUGACCCAGCAGAUCCAUUCCACACCAGGAACCACAACAGCAAACUGCUGCAGUCAAUGAAAAUCAUCCCAGCUGGGCUGUGGUUGUGAGUGUUUGGACUGAGAGGUCUUAGAGUUCCCUGUCCAGCUGCUCAGAGCCCCUGACACACACACCACACACAUCCCUCUGUCCCAGGAGAGAUGCAGUGACCUUGCAGACACGAAGCCCAGAGGGAAACCAGGCUGCUGUGCCAAGCCCUGAGCUCUCCUGUUUCCACAGCCAUAUACAGAGCAGUGCACUGAUUCCCCACGUUCUGUGUUCCCUUCUAGGCCAGCAGCUGGCAGCACUGACUUUGGCCUGGCUUUUUUCUCUGACUUUGUUUUCACAGCUCCAUGGAAACCUGGCAGCAGUGAAAAACAAGCUUUGGGGCUAUGCUGUUAGGUUGGGAGGCAUCUUGUUCCCAGCCUUUCUUGCAGAAUGCUGAGGAGCAUUUUCACCUGAAAGGUUUUGCAGACUUUGAUGGGAAAGCCUAACAAAGGCAAAAGGGAGAAUCCAAAGGGCCAGACCAAGGCAUGGGUGUGACCCAGCCAUGGCAAGGGAUGGUGCAGUGCCCCGUUUCCCAUCGCUGCUGACCUGCUGCUUGGCAAACAGCAUUUACCAGAGUCUGAACUGGGGCAGCCUCCACAGCUGUGCUACAACAUCCCUGGAAAAAUCUGUACUCUCCAGGCUUGGCCAGCUCCUCACUAGGAACUGUCUUUGCUGGAGCUGCUCCCUCCAGUGUGGGAUGGAUGCCUGGCUGAGGGAGUGCCCAUGGUCCAGUCCCAGCCACACACAGUGACUCAGAGCCUGGCCCUGGGAAACUGCAGAUACAUAUUCUUGUACCUGAUUUCUUUAUUUGCCUCACACAAAUGCUGUUAACACCUGUAUUUAACUUAGAGAAGAUAAUAUAGACAUACAAGGAUUAUCACGAUUGAUCAGAGCAAGAAUAAAGAAUGCUUCAGAAGAAAAGAGGAAAAAAAACCCAAGCAAACAAAAAAAGCAUUGCACAACCUACAACCUGGAUCUCAUUUCUGGUUUUAGAAACUGGGAGACUGGUUUAAUUUACAGGUUGAAGGUAACACUUUAGAAGGAAAGCUAAUUUCUCAUUGCAAGAAUCCUGGGCAUUUUUGUCCAUGUAAAUCACACCAAACAUGGCAGGAACUUUUCCAAACAACACACCUGAGAAAAGGCUGCACCAGAGCUGACCUCCCCAUUGCAAGACUAUCUAACCCAAAAGAUUAACCUCCUCAGGCAGCAAACACUGCUCAAAUGCCCCAAUAAAGCCACCAUGGCCCUAUAAAUGGCCCAGCUGCCUUCACCUGCUCUCCUGCAGCCGGGCAAGGGCUCACAUUUCCUUUCCAUGAACCCCUGGCAGUGCAAAAGUCCUUGUUGCUGCAGGCACAGAAACCUGCACCUCUGCAGCAACUCUGAACCUGUGCUACGCUCUCACCUGCCUGCAGGAGGGCUGUGAACAACAAUUCAACAGCACAUUUCAUCACCAAGCUUUUCUGGAAGAGUGCUUUGGGAUUUUCAGAUGAAAGGGGAUGAUGAGAGACAAACGACAUCAGUGUCAGUUGUUCCUUCCUUGUACCCUCCUGUCACUCCACAGCUUUCCCUAAAUGCUCUGAGGAUGAUGAAACAAUCCAACUUGUAUUUGAGCAAAAUGGAACAGCAGGAAAAAAGCACAGCUAGGGCCUUCUAAAGAUUUAGUUUGAGUAUUACACACCCUGGAGAAUAAGGUGUGAUGGGAGAGAGGAAACUUCAUCAGGAACAGAGGAACUGGUUGCAAAGAUGUGCUGAAUUCCUCCAUGAUACCAGUGCACAGUAAAUGGGGAAAUAACCAAUGUGGAACCAUAUUAAUUUGAAUUUCUUGUGAAAUGGGAGAGUGUGUGUGCAGAGGAUGUGGGAGCAGCACACCAUACCUAAAUGCUGACAACUUCACUUUUCAGCAGACAACACAUAAAACACCCCUCCACAAGCGUAGAGCUAGAAUAAAAAUUAGCCAACCUAAAAUACUGUCACUACAGUGAAAUCCUCAAACUAUCACUAGUGUGAGCCUGUUUUCUUACCCCAAACAUUUUGUGUUGCUUUGAAAGUUUUGGUUUGUUUUUCUAUUUUAGUUGGACCAACCCAGUGAUUUAGAAGGAAAAUUUUCAUUUUGUUAUGCAAUUAAGCUCUUGGACAAACAAAUUACAUUUCUGGCAGUUUUCAAGUUUACUUUCUUAAACAGAAAAAAAUUACUUUUUUUUUUCUUUUAGUGCAUUUACAUUUGUUUGCAAAUGGUUUGUUUCCAUCGAAGCUCCAUUUUCUAUAGAACAAAUGGAACGUUCCCAGCGUGGGACUCCUCCACAGCUCCACUUGCAGCAAUCCCAUCUCACUGAAAGGAGAGCAGGAGACAAUGCACACGCAGGGCUUGGUGUCAGGGUUAAAAGUUCUCCUUCUCACGUGUAAGCUGCUAGGGGACACACCUUAGCUCUGAAAGGGGCUGGUAAGCUCAAAGCUGAAUAAUGGAAGGGGUUCCCAACGCCACAAAUGAAUCCAAUCAAGCUACACAACAAUUCCCCCUGUUCCUCUCUGGAACAGGCUAACAGAAAUAUGCUGUAAUAAAAGGGGCUCUGUUCCAAGAACAGUGCACUGUGGACAAUGCUCAGCAUUAGCUGGGGCUGCUCCUGGCCGUGACCUGCUGCGUGCUCUGGGUCACAUCUGUGCCACACCAGGGUCCCCAGCCCUGCCCUGGGGGCUCUGAGGGCAAACAGGUACAGUUCAGUGGCAUUUCAUGCUCUUUAGUGCCUUGAUCCUGGGAAAUACAAGGGCUCCUAUUGGCAAGAAAAGAACCAAACUAGGAGGUGCAAAAGCAGAGGAAGAUGUGUGUGAGCUUCCCACACACAGCCUGCCAAACACGCUUCUUGCAGGGCCUGGCCCUCGGGAAUUGAGGGCUGCCAGUGCUCUCCUACGUGCCAAACUCCGUAUUUACUUCUCUCUGAGAUUACAGGCAAGGGAUUUGGACGAGGCCUGCUAUUAUUUGAUGUCAAAACUUCACUUGGAUUUGGCACAGCGGAGUCCAAAAGCCUAACUGGAAAAGGGGAGCUUCAAUCCAAAACCCAGGCUCUCUGCAGGUGGGAAGUCGCUGUAUCUGUACAGUCAAGUGAAAAGUCCACCUCUCCAGUUUGAGUUGUACACCCUUCCCACCAUGCCCAUGGGUUUGGUGUUUGCAUUUUCUUGGGGUUUGGGGCUUUUUUCCGUUUGGUUGGUUGGGUUUU